CCUACGGGAGGCUGCAGUGGGGAAUAUUGGACAAUGGGGGGAACCCUGAUCCAGCGACGCCGCGUGAGUGAAGAAGUAUUUCGGUAUGGAAAGCUCUAUCAGCAGGGAAGAAAGAAAUGACGGUACCUGACUAAGAAGCCCCGGCUAACUACGUGCCAGCAGCCGCGGGAAUACGUAGGGGGCAAGCGUUGGCCGGAUUUACUGGGUGUAAAGGGCGUGCAGCCGGGAAGACAAGUCAGAUGUGAAAUCCCGCGGCUCAACCGCGGAACUGCAUUUGAAACUGUUUUUCUUGAGUACCGGAGCGGUCAUCGGAAUUCCUUGUGUAGCGGUGAAAUGCGUAGAUAUAAGGAAGAACACCAGUGGCGAAGGCGGAUGACUGGACGGCAACUGACGGUGAGGCGCGAAAGCGUGGGGAGCAAACAGGAUUAGAUACCCUUGUAGUC
rnacentral:rRNA from 1 species